rnacentral:lncRNA from 1 species
CUUUCUCUCUCUCUCUCUCUCUCUCUCUCUCUCUCUCUCUCAACGGUCAUAAGAAAAGAAGAAAGGACAAAAAACAGCUAGCACUCCAUACGUUACCUCUCUCAGAAUUCUCUCUCUCUUGCAUAAAGAAGAAAACGAAAAUAAAAAAGAAAAAGAAGGAGCAUUGUUAAUCUUCUUCCUUCGCAGACAACAAUCACCCUCACUCACCAUCACCACCUUACCUUUCGCUAUAAC